CUUCCAGCAGUCCAAAAUAUUAGUCAAUGCUCGAAAGAGUGAACUAGCUAACUGAAAUCAAUUAAAAAAUAAUAAUUGAUAACAUAAGGGAAAAUAAUGAUAUUACCUUAUUAUUAAUGUCGUCCAAAACUGGUGCCAGAAGACUCGGUAAGGCCAGAGACAUAAACGUUAAUCGUCUUAAUCAGGCGUAAAGGGUUUGUAGGCGGCUUAAAAAAACAAAAAUAAAAGCUAGAAUCAAAUAGAGGAUAUAUGAAAGAAUGCUUAGAGUAGGUCUGAUAUCUUUAGAUACUAAGUAGAAUAUUAAAGGUGAAAACUUUUUUCCAUUAAUGAUUGACGCUCAGAAACGAAGGUGAGGAUAGGAAAUAGGAUUAGAUACCCAAAAUACCCCUCUCUGUCAACGAUGAAUGGUAGUUAUUAGUAAAAAUUUUUUAUUAAUGACAAUGUUAACACGAUAACCAUUCCGCCUUGUGAGUAUAACUGCAAAGUUGAAAACAAAAAAAUUAGUCGGCGAGCAACGAGA
rnacentral:rRNA from 1 species